CACGUAGUUAGCCGGUGCUUCUUCUCCAGGUACCGUCACAUAACGCUUCGUCCCUAGCGAAAGGAGUUUACAACCCGAAGGCCGUCAUCCCCCACGCGGCGUCGCUGCAUCAGGCUUGCGCCCAUUGUGCAAUAUUCCCCACUGCUGCCUCCCGUAGGAGUCUGGGCCGUAUCUCAGUCCCAAUGUGGCCGUACACCCUCUCAGGCCGGCUACCCGUCGACGCCUUGGUAGGCCAUUACCCCACCAACAAGCUGAUAGGCCGCGAGCUCAUCCCACACCGAAAAACUUUCCACCACACCAUCCAAAAUGUGGUCCUAUCCGGUAUUAGACCCAGUUUCCCAGGCUUAUCCCGAAGUGCAGGGCAGAUCACCCACGUGUUACUCACCCGUUCGCCACUCGAGUACCCCUGCAAGCAGGAGCCUUUCCGUUCGACUUGCAUGUGUUAAGCACGCCGCCAGCGUUCAUCCUGAGCCAGGAUCAAACUCU
rnacentral:rRNA from 1 species